rnacentral:rRNA from 1 species
UACAGAGGUCUCAAGCGUUGUUCGGAUUCAUUGGGCGUAAAGGGUGUGUAGGUGGCGCCGUAAGUCGGGUGUGAAAUUUCGGAGCUUAACUCUGAAACUGCAUUCGAUACUGCGGUGCUUGAGGACUGGAGAGGAGGCUGGAAUUCAUGGUGUAGCAGUGAAAUGCGUAGAGAUCAUGAGGAAGACCAGUGGCGAAGGCGGGUCUCUGGACAGUUCCUGACACUGAGACACGAAGGCCAGGGGAGCAAACGGG